rnacentral:rRNA from 1 species
UGGGGAAUUUUGGACAAUGGGCGAAAGCCUGAUCCAGCAAUGCCGCGUGUGUGAAGAAGGCCUUCGGGUUGUAAAGCACUUUUGUCCGGAAAGAAAUCCUUGGCUCUAAUACAGUCGGGGGAUGACGGUACCGGAAGAAUAAGCACCGGCUAACUACGUGCCAGCAGCCGCGGUAAUACGUAGGGUGCAAGCGUUAAUCGGAAUUACUGGGCGUAAAGCGUGCGCAGGCGGUUUGCUAAGACCGAUGUGAAAUCCCCGGGCUCAACCUGGGAACUGCAUUGGUGACUGGCAGGCUAGAGUAUGGCAGAGGGGGGUAGAAUUCCACGUGUAGCAGUGAAAUGCGUAGAGAUGUGGAGGAAUACCGAUGGCGAAGGCAGCCCCUGGGCCAAUACUGACGCUCAUGCACGAAAAGCGUGGGGAGCAAAACAGGAUUAGAUACCCUGGUAGUCCACGCCCUAAAACGAUGUCAACUAGUUGUUGGGGAUUCAUUUCCUUAGUAACGUAGCUAACGCGUGAAGUUGACCGCCUGGGGAGUACGGUCGCAAGAUUAAAACUUAAAGGAAUUGACGGGGUCAUAGCUGUUUCCU